GAUGCUAUUUCUAGAGAUAGAAAGUUACUUCGGUACAUCGGUGACAGGUGGUGCAUGGUUGUCGUCAGCUCGUGUCGUGAGAUGUUGGGUUAAGUCCCGCAACGAGCGCAACCCCUAUUGUUAGUUGCCAUCAUUCAGUUUGGGCACUCUAGCGAGACUGCCGGUAAUAAACCGGAGGAAGUGGGGAUGACGUCAAAUCAUCAUGCCCCUUAUGACCUGGGCUACACACGUGCUACAAUGGUUGGUACAACGAGUUGCGAAUCGGUGACGGCGAGCUAAUCUCUUAAAGCCAAUCUCAGUUCGGAUUGUAGGCUGCAACUCGCCUACAUGAAGUCGGAAUCGCUAGUAAUCGCGGAUCAGCACGCCGCGGUGAAUACGUUCCCGGGCCUU
rnacentral:rRNA from 1 species